UUGGGGGGGUAACCCGAGCCCUCGAAGCCCUUGAAGCUGCGGGGGUGGCUUAGCUUCAGUGUUUUGGCUGAGAACACCCUUAAAGCUUAAAAUAAAACCUGCCUGUGGGGUGUGGAGGAGGACCGAGGCGUACGCGCAUCAGCGCCCCCCGCCCCCCUCAGUCUGGAAGAGGAUGCUGAGGGCUUGGACCAGAGGAGCUGAGGAGGCGGAGCCCCCCGCCCGUAGAUGCUCCAGACCCCCGACCCACACCCCAGCCGGCCCCCGGAUGCCUGCCCACACUUACGAAGGAAAUGCAGGCGGCCAGGAGAAGGAUCCGCACCAGGAGCAGGGAGCUCUACCCAGGGAAGAAAGAAGAAAAGGACAUAUUCAUUUGGGGUUCAGUCUAAUGCCUCCCACACCCAGGAUUCUGGCUAAGGGUGGGAAGCCUUCACUCAAGGAUUCGGAGCAGGAAGGGUCCUCAGAGGUUGCCAAUCCUGCUGCUCACUGUCCUGUCCCAUUAAGAGAACUCGGCUGGGGACCCUGGGAAGCACUGUUUGGCUCAGCCAAUGGCACAGCCCGCAGGGGAGCGAUGGGCCCGAAA